UAAAUCUAGUGGCGACGGGUGAGUAACGCGUGGGUAACCUGCCUUACACUGGGGAUAACACUUAGAAAUAGGUGCUAAUACCGCAUAAGCGCACGAAGCCGCAUGGAUUUGUGUGAAAAACUCCGGUGGUGUAAGAUGGACCCGCGUCUGAUUAGCUUGUUGGCGGGGUAACGGCCCACCAAGGCGACGAUCAGUAGCCGGCCUGAGAGGGUGGACCGGCCACAUUGGGACUGAGACACGGCCCAAACUCCUACGGGAGGCAGCAG
rnacentral:rRNA from 1 species